CACCGUUUCGUUCUGUAUUUCUCUAGAUCGCCGCUGUUAUGCCCAGAAUUCGUGAUCCCCAAAGACCACCAGGGAGCCGAGUCCGAUGCAAAAGCAAAAGAGCCUUUAUUCGAGCUAGCUCGAGCUCAAUCCCCUACCUGCACCGACACAGCGGUGAGAUACCAGGGAGAGAGAGCGAGUUUCAAAAGCACAAAGGUUUUAUAGGGGUCUAGGGGCAGUUGGUGAGGUAACGGCUGUGGGCUCAGCCGAUUGGCUGGGGAAGGGUUGUGGCCUCGGCUGAUUGGCUGGGGAAGGGUCGGCGUCCUGUUACGCAGGUCGCUGGGUGUGUUUUGAUCAGGAAGUUUGAACGGGUGAGCGGGAGGUUACUCAAGGGGAGGAGGCGCGGUCUGAGGUUUCUUCGUUUUCCCGGAAAAGGGGUCAUGUCUGGGACAUAGUCACUCAAGGUGGAGGACACAGAGCAAGAUGGAGUCGGCCGGCGUAGGCCCACCCUUUCAGCCGCUCUUGUCCAAAGUCCUGGAGCGCUGAGGAAGAGAACAGAAGCCUGAGAGGGGAAGUUACUUUUGUUCUUCCAGUAUCAAUAGAUCAACUAGAUGGCCCCCAAGAGGAACCACUGGCACCACGUCUGAGGGGGAGCUGGAACGCAGGUGUUCAUGCCGAGUCCAGGAAUGCCGGUUGGAAGGGAGAGAUGGUUGUGUGCACAGUUGAGCUCCUGGCACAGACCAGCCACUAUUCUAGGAACUCUGGAGGCAAACAUAAGACAGAUAUUCUCCACGUUUAGAAGACAGUCAGGUGGAAGAUACUGGGACGGUGGAGUGCCUGCGUUUAAGAGGAAGAUUUAUUGGACUCGCGGCAUCCACUGUGAACCUUCUACAGCCGCAUUAGCUAACAUCUGUUGGAAAAUGUCAGGAUGCGGGGCUGAAGACAUGCACGCAGGAUGUAUGCUUUCGGGAGCUGGAACAACAAACCGGAAGCAUGGGCAGCCCUUGCAAGCUAAAUUAAUUAGCGAUGGGACCUGUGUCUGC
rnacentral:lncRNA from 1 species